AGAAUACCUCCGCGGCCCUUGGCAAAAACAGCAAGAGCAGCACUCACCUUACCGCAACCUGGCGGGCCCCACAAGAUGAGCGAAGGGAUCUCAUUGGCCUCCAGUAGCGAGCGGAGCAGAGUCUCCUGCCCUACGGCCCUACUCUGCCCGAUGUAGUCCUGCAGCGUGUCUGGACGCAUCUUGUCAGCCAGCGGCUUGCCCUCCAGCAUCUGUCGGAUCUCCUCCGCCGCCAGCGCCCGGGGAUGCGCGCGGCCCGCGCUGACUCCGAACGAGGCGUCGGCGGCGUCCGCAUCCCAGUGCCCGGGAUCGUCCUCACCGUCCACGUCCGCGUCGCCAUCGCCGUCCACCCCCGCCUCCUCCUCCUCCUGCGCCUCCGCCUCAUCCCAGCUGCGCGGGGAUGCGCUGCCUGCGGCGGCUGCAGCCGCUGGUCUCUUCCCCAUACCCUUUCUGGCGGGGCUGCUGGAGCGGGCCACCGGGAAGUCCGGGAUAAGGCGCGCACCGCUGGGCGUGGGCGGUGCGUCGUAGCUCUCACGGCUCUCGGUCUCGCCGCCGUCAUCGCCCUCCUCGCCCUCGCCUUCGCUGCUUUCGGCCGCCGUCGGGGUGGCGGGCUGCUUCAGCGCCGAGCUCUCCGACAGUCGACGCCUCUUGGCGCCGGGUGGCGAGGGCCCCUUGGCCCGCUCCCCAGCGCGGUGAGAGCCGGCCGCUGGCUCCGCGUGCCCCGCAGGGUGCAGCAGCAGGCAGCGGUCCAGGUGCGAAUUGAUGUGCGCGGCGGGCAUCAUCUGCUGGCACACUGGGCACUGCACCUGGUGCAACUGCGACAGGAAGGGGUCGUCUUCCGGCCCGCUCACCUCCAUGGUGGCAGCUGCCCUCCCUGGCGCCCGUGCGGCUGCACCUGCCCCUGAGAACGCCGAUGCCCGCCGCUAGGCCCGGUGCCGCGCGACCCUCGCGCGGGUAGGGAGCAGGACACGCACGGGCCGAGGGAGGGCGCCGCUCAUGCCUCACGUCCUGAGCUCCCGCGUCAACUCGCCCUCGGCCCGCAGCUGGCAACGCCUCGCGAGUCGUGUCGGGAAGUGUAGUCCAAAGCGGGCAGAAGACUCCGCAACCCGAUGCCCCCAAUCGCCGCCGGCAAUUUCUCGCAUUGAACUUUGGGAAAUGUAGUUCUCCGUCACAACAGGCCCUCUCGUCUUCUUCGGUCCCUGGGAAGAGCCUUUCUGUGGCGCUGCUUGGAUAGGCGUGGUGCGCGUGCGCAUGCCUGCUCAGUACCGGAAACAACCGCCUUCGAGUAAAACCCAAGCGGAGGGAACUUGGGAACCUGGCUUUCCAGGAUUUUGGCCUUCUGGGUGCGGAACUAGAAAUGCUGUCAUCAGGGAGAAUAUUUGUAAUAAAACUAAAACGAAGUGGAAAUACCCCAGAAGUGCCUAGGAAGCUGGAGAAAGGGCUUCGACAUAAACACACAAGAGCUACACAGGUAGACAAAGUUCAAUUCCGAAGGCUGCUCAAGGAAAUGCAAUAAAAGGGAUUCCCUCCCCUGUGCCCCUUAAUUUUACUUUAGGACCUGUCGCCCAAAGUACUUGCUUAAUAGUUAUCUCUAGCUGAUAUAAUAGUCGUAAACUGAAAAUCACCGUUGUAUCCCAAUAACAAAAUGAUGGCAGGCAGUCCUUAAAGGUAUUUCCAGCAGACAGGAGCAGGAAAUGAGUACAAUAGGCAUUUAUAAAUGUAUAUUCUCUGGGUGUAGUGCUGUGUACCUUUAAUACUAGUACUCAGGAGGCACUGACAGGUGGAUCUCAGAGUUUGAGGCCAGCGUGGUCUACAUUUUGAGUUCCAAGUCAGCCAGGGCUACAUAAUACAAAAUUGUAUUUUUACUUUUGAAAAGCAAAUUUAAAAAGUUAGUGUGGUAGUCUACAUCCAUGUAUUACUGCUUAUGAUUUUAUUAUGCUUUUCUGUAAGUUACUCCUUGGAAAGAUGCAAAAGGAGCUGGAGAGGUGGCUCAGUAGUUAAGAGCACUUGCUGCUAUUGUAGGUUCCUCUUUCAGUUUGCAGCACCAGGUCAGAGGAUCUGGCUCCUUAUUCUGGCCUCUGGGGGCACUACACCUAGGUAAUGCACAGUCAUACAUGCAGGCAAAACAUGUAAAUAUAAAUGUAAUACAUCUUUUAAAAUAUUUAAAUACAUAUAGGUAGAUUGAGAGGAGUGUGACUUGUUAAGUUGCUAAGGCUGGAAUUCUCAACCUGUACCUGGGGGCUACCAAAAACAUCAAAAUUUUAUUAUAAUUGAUUAUUGCUGAUAAUCAGAAAUUAAAUGUGUUAAGGGAAAGCAAAGACUUAUGAAUCUUGUCAAAAUUUGAGUGUGUAUUUACUUUACCACCCAACAGUAUACAGCAAGUUACAGUAGAAACUUUUUAUUUACUGUUUUCCCACUGAAGGUUUAGUUAUCUUAUGCUAUGAAGUAAACUGGCAAUAGCU
rnacentral:lncRNA from 1 species